AUUCAAUUCAAUUCAAUCCACCAAUCUACGGAUCGGAUUUAUGCAGAUCAGACGGAUUAAGCAGAUUGGAUUGCAUUCCAAACACCCCCUAUUUCGUACAAUCAAGUCUACCUGAGUUUUUGGUGGCCAAUUAGUGUACAGUCAAUCCAAAAGUCAACAAAGUUGUACCAAAAUACGCUACACUACACCAUACUAAAUUCAAGUCUGUAAUCCAAACGGACCAAACCCAUCUUCAAUCAUGUCUCGAUUUGAACCUUAUUAUUACCUGUUAUCCGAAGGUUUAACGGCUUUUAACAAAUGGGGUGUUUCAGUGAUGCUUGCCUUGAUAAACAAUGUUGACAGCAUAGUUAUACAUCUAUUAAUUAUUAGAGAAAAGAUUACCAUUUGUCUAGGGUUGGCAAUAAACUCUGGAUCAGUCCGGAUCCGCAAAGAUCUGGAAGAUCCGAAUCCAAAAAAAUUCGAAUCUUAAAAAUUAAGAUCUAUGUGGAUCCGGAUGUAAGUACAUUCAGAAAACUGGAUAUCCGGAUCUGCAUUA
rnacentral:lncRNA from 1 species